GACGUGGCCACGGGGCUUCUUAAAUUGGUUCCAUUCUUUUUGAGGACGUGGACACUUUUGAGGCUUUCGAGGGGAAAGUCUGACUCUCUGUCUGCAUACCUCCGCCCUCCCCAGCCACCCGCCCUCUCCCGCCCUUGCCAAGUUUGGAACCACUUGAGGACACCUACGUGGGCACUUUUCAGAUCUCUGGGCAGAGAGGCAGGUGUUGAGGGACAUGAGGAGCGAAGGUUGACUGACUGGAGCAGAUACUGAAGUUGGAGCUAUUGAGUCUGGUGACAGCCUCGGCAAUUCCACAGACCUUCUGACUCCUCCCCAGUACAGUGUACCUCACGUUAGAGCACAUUGUGGACCCUGGGUGUCAUUGCUCCUUACUAAGUAGGUCAGGAAGCACUUGAUCUGAUGAGAAAGACACGUGAAAAAUGCAGCGAAUCAAUGGCGACCAUCUCUAAUUGUCUCUGGUAAUAGACAGUGUUCUUCAAUCCAAGAAAUUAUCUGAAGAAAGCUCCAGCAACAAUGAAACCCUUGGCAGGAGCCGGAGAGAGAAUUUAUGGCCCUGGAACUCAAACAGGGCUUAGAUGGAUCAUUAUUCUGCUUUACCUUGCAUUUGCUGUGGUCACUGGGGAUCAUCUGGCAGCCGGUCUGGGAGGAAGCAUCCAAGAUGGAUUGUUUACAUGUCUGACACAAGGCUAACUAGAAGACUAGGCUCCGCUGAACUGUUGACUGAAAUGUUUGCAUCUGGCUCUGAGACAAAAAUGAGCUCUCCACCUUUGGUUUCCAGAGAGAAUCUUUAAGAAAGAAAAGUGAAUAUUGCAAGACUUAAGUCCUAGCCUUGGAAAUUUGAUAUCAUCACUUCCAUUGUAUCCUGUGAUAAGGACACACACACAAUGCUGACUGAGAUACAAGAAGACAGGUUAUAGAGUAGAUUACCUGGAGGCAUGCUUCAUUAAGGAGUGCCCUUUGAAGAUUAAUAAACACACUUGACUGUACUGAAAUGAAUUUUCAUCGCACUCACCUGUGCUACGUCUGGACUAUAGUCAUUUUUAUUUUUCCACCAG